CCCAGGCGCUCUCCCUGACUCCUUUUCUCUUGCCAUACAGCAGCGGCGCCAAGGGGUUGGUAUGGGGGGACCUUCUUUGUCAGUUACCGUCGAGGCUUGGAGUAAUAUAAUUAAAACCGGGGUGCAGAAGAAAAACAAGCACCGUAGCCCUGGCUUUCGACUCAUUAGGCCGCUCAGCACCUCCUGCAUCGCAAUACCGGCCCCCCAAUCUGACCCCGGCCCCUGGCCCCAGUUGGACAAGCAGCGUUAGUCCCCACGGAGGUUGGAGUUUGUUCCUGCCACCGCUGCCCUCUGGAGAACUGGUCUUGCUGAGUUGUUGUCGGGGUGAUGUCAUCCGCCUGUGCUGAGAGACAGGGGAGGAAACGGCCCAAAUGACACUCACUGUCGUCUGUCUUACAGAAUGUUGUCAAGCUGUGCUGUUUUGUAUCCCAGUGUCUAUUUAUAAGACUCCUCAGAGACUUGCCUAACUGGUCUUAGAAGCAAAAACAGUUGUAUUACUCCUGGAAAGCUGUUCUUUUUCCUCCGAGAAGCCCAUCUCCAAGUGUCCAGUAUUCUCUUCUCCCUGUCAUUCCGGAAUGAAGCAAAGAAACAAAAGAAGGAGGAAAAGGAGAAAAUACUUUGAGCUAUGAAAAAUCAAAGCAGAUAGAUGAUCAAAGGAAUCCAAAUACACAGGCAUUUUGUGUUUUUUUCCUCAGUGGAAUUUUAACAUUAACUCAUCACAGAUUCGUACCGAGUAAUAAUUAUGUACUCGCUUUUCAAAGCUCUGAAGUACAAACAGUAAGUGCCUGAAGAGGGCAUUCUAUGUAUGUGCCUUGUCUACAGACUCCUAAGUUCUUCUUCCCACCAUGUUUUUAGAAAUAACCAGCACAGUUAGGACUUUGUAGAAUGACAUUCGGACACUAUGCUUUCAUUUGAAGCCAGGCACAAUAAAAAUGUCUUUGAGGCUUUGUCCUGA